rnacentral:rRNA from 1 species
UACGUAGGGGGCGAGCGUUGUCCGGAUUUAUUGGGCGUAAAGAGCUCGUAGGCGGUUUGGUAAGUCGGGUGUGAAAUCUCCACGCUCAACGUGGAGGGGCCACUCGAUACUGCCAUGACUCGAGUCCGGUAGAGGAGUGUGGAAUUCCCGGUGUAGCGGUGAAAUGCGCAGAUAUCGGGAGGAACACCUAUGGCGAAGGCAGCUCGCUGGGACGUUACUGACGCUGAGACGCGAAAGCGUGGGGAGCAAACAGG